rnacentral:rRNA from 1 species
CACGAACCGUACGAACGUUAUUCGGAAUUACUGGGCUUAAAGGGUUUGUAGGCGGCCUUGUAAGUCAGGUGUGAAAUCCCUCGGCUCAACCGAGGAAUAGCGCUUGAUACUGCAAGGCUUGAGGGAGACAGGGGUAAGCGGAACUGAUGGUGGAGCGGUGAAAUGCGUUGAUAUCAUCAGGAACACCGGUGGCGAAAGCGGCUUACUGGGUCUCUUCUGACGCUGAGGAACGAAAGCUAGGGGAGCGAACGGGG